rnacentral:tRNA from 1 species
CGGGGUGUAGCGCAGCCUGGUAGCGCGCUGCGUUCGGGACGCAGAAGUCGCGAGUUCAAAUCUCGCCACCCCGA